AGUUUCUGAUCUUUAUCAGUUCUUCGGCAGCUCGGCCCUUGAGGCAUGAUCAGUUGCUGCCUUGCUGAGUUAUUCACUCCAGUCACUCCACCGAAUCUAGGAUGUUAAAGAGGAACUGUGUGAAUCAGAGGGCCACAAAUGAAAGCUUGAAGAGAAUAAAGGUUGGUGUGCGAGGACAUAACUGGGGGUCUAGAGGAUAUUGCCAUUCCAGCUAGCAAUUUGGUCGAUGAUCCGCCUGUUGCUCCUACAGGCAAGUUGAUCAUGUUCAUGGAGUAAUACUUGUUACUGUGAAUAAAAAAAUGUUUAUAGGCAAGUUGGAAUUCAAAUUUCAUCCAGUUGUCUUGUUGAUUUGAGUCAUUAUUCCUUAUCAAAUUACUUUGCCCUCUUCAGUUGCAAUGGUGGAACUUUUUCAUGGAUCUUUUUAUAUCCCUCAA